UGGGGAAUAUUGCACAAUGGGCGCAAGCCUGAUGCAGCCAUGCCGCGUGUAUGAAGAAGGCCUUCGGGUUGUAAAGUACUUUCAGCGGGGAGGAAGGGAGUAAAGUUAAUACCUUUGCUCAUUGACGUUACCCGCAGAAGAAGCACCGGCUAACUCCGUGCCAGCAGCCGCGGUAAUACGGAGGGUGCAAGCGUUAAUCGGAAUUACUGGGCGUAAAGCGCACGCAGGCGGUUUGUUAAGUCAGAUGUGAAAUCCCCGGGCUCAACCUGGGAACUGCAUCUGAUACUGGCAAGCGUGAGUCUCGUAGAGGGGGGUAGAAUUCCAGGUGUAGCGGGGAAAUGCGUAGAGAUCUGGAGGAAUACCGGUGGCGGAGGCGGCCCCCUGGACAAAGACUGACGCUCAGGUGCGAAAGCGUGGGGAGCAAACAGG
rnacentral:rRNA from 1 species